ACAACGGAGAGUUUGAUCCUGGCUCAGGAUGAACGCUGGCGGCGUGCUUAACACAUGCAAGUCGAACGAACCUUCGGGUUAGUGGCGGACGGGUGA
rnacentral:rRNA from 1 species